UUUCACGACAAGAUUACUAUAAAAGACAACACUUUCUCAACCUUCACAUAUUACUACUGCACCGAGGACAAUUUGCCGCCGCUGCCAUAUAAAGAAAAUGGAUCUGAUAUUAAGAAAUAUAUUAUGUGUUCUAUCAAUCUGUGCUUUGUUAUAUGGACAUAUUUCUUGUUUUGAAGAUGGAGAAUUGUCAUAUCCAAACUCAGAAGACAUGUUGAAUGCGGAGACUCAAGGAUUAGAAGAUGCUGAAAAUUUGGUGAUUGCUAAACGUCCUUUUGGUCGAUUAUUUGGCCCAUCCUGGUCCAAACGACCAUUUGGUAGACUCUUUGGCUCAUCAAAACCCAGAAGACCCUAUAACUGGAGAUUAUACAGUCAAAUUCUUUCUAAAUCAAAACGUCCCUUUGGUCGAAUGUUUGGUCCGAGAUUUUCUACCGGCAAACGAUCAGAUGGGCAACAAACCGUGGACAACCCAUCACAAGAAAUGGCAAAGCGACCGUUCGGUCGUAUGUUUGGACCAGGUUCCUCUUUGGGGAAGCGAUCACCUUUACAGGAAUCUAUACGGAUACCACUGCAAGAAAAGUCAAAGCGACCAUUUGGGCGUAUGUUUGGACCAAGAUUUUCUACCGGCAAGCGAUCGCCUCUUCAUGAAGCAGUUAAUACACCAUCACAGGAAUUACACAAGCGCCCAUUUGGUAGAUUGUUUGGAACAAGUGUUUUAGGAAAGCGUGCACUGGGAUCGGUUUUAAAUGGUGGUUAUAAAUUGGGUAAAAGAAGCAACACAGCAGACGAUAUGGAUCGUGUGGAUGUCAGUGACUAUAUAGAAUUUCCAGGUUAUUCGCCAGAAGAUACUCAAAAACGAUAUUCAUGGACAAUGCCAGGUUAUAAAUUAGGUAGACGAUAAAUUUAUUAUCGCUAAUUAUACUCAUAUCAUAGUUUAAUUUAUCACUUAUAUCUGUCUGUAAAAUAAAUAAAAGUCUCAUUGCAUUACAUUAUAUAAAAUAUGUUCAUGUAAUAAAUUGAUAGUAAAAUCA